UAGUCAUGACAGGGGCGCUGAAAGGCUGAGAUUUGCGUGAAAACGCAAGGUCCCUUAUGACCUGAUCUAGUUAAUGCUAGCGUAGGGAGUCAGAUCUAAUCGAAU
rfam:Eubacterium dolichum CAG:375 genomic scaffold, scf117